rnacentral:rRNA from 1 species
AUGAACGCUGGCGGCGUGCUUAACACAUGCACGUCGAACGGAAAGGCUCCUGCUUGCAGGGGUACUCGAGUGGCGAACGGGUGAGUAACACGUGGGUGAUCUGCCCUGCACUUCGGGAUAAGCCUGGGAAACUGGGUCUAAUACCGGAUAGGACGAUGGUUUGGAUGCCAUUGUGGAAAGUUUUUCGGUGUGGGAUGAGCUCGCGGCCUAUCAGCUUGUUGGUGGGGUAAUGGCCUACCAAGGCGUCGACGGGUAGCCGGCCUGAGAGGGUGUACGGCCACAUUGGGACUGAGAUACGGCCCAGACUCCUACGGGAGGCAGCAGUGGGGAAUAUUGCACAAUGGGCGCAAGCCUGAUGCAGCGACGCCGCGUGGGGGAUGACGGCCUUCGGGUUGUAAACUCCUUUCGCUAGGGACGAAGCGCAAGUGACGGUACCUGGAGAAGAAGCACCGGCUAACUACGUG